UUAAGCCCAAGUAACCAAGCACCCUGCUGGGGCUUUCCAACCCCGAAAUGGACUCAGGGUGGUUGCCCACCCGCCUCGGUGUCCGUGAACCGCGGGUGUUCCAGUCGCUAUAAAUCCGGUCGCCCACCCCCAAGUCUGGGGAUCCAGGGGAGAAGCAGCAGUGACUAGGUCUCCUGGCUUCACUGUCUGUGACAUGGAGAGAAAAACUGCAAAAAUGCCCUCGCGGCCCUUCAAAGGGCGGCGAAUGUGAGCCAAAAUAGGGGUGCUGGGUAGGUAGCGAGCUCCUGACCUCCACACCUGACCCUCUGCCUUGACCUUUUCACAGAUGCCCAGUUAAAGUCUCACAACACCUGGGAAUGGGGGACGACAAUUAAUCGCCUUUUACAGAGGAAGAGGACCUAACUGAGAGCAACUCCAGAUUCAUGGAACAGCACCUUCUAGCAGUGGCUGGACACUCGGUAACUGACAGAUGCUGACUGACUGACUGAAUGAAUGAAUGACCGGACACACUUCACGGUAUGAAUUGGUGGUUCAGGCUGCAGGGUACCAUAGCGCUGUGACAUACAAGCCAUCCUUUCUGUCUGCUGAUGGGAAGUUGAAGAUGUUUGAACAGGCAAUGCUUCCUUGAGAUGACAGUGCUGGGGCAAAGCGGCCCUUACGGAUUAUCUGACUUCCAUGCUUUGUGUCCAGCCAUGAACCUGUGUCCAGCAGAGUGUGACCCUGGACAAAUACCUUGGUCUUCUCGUAAGGUGGCAUAAGAAUAGUUACAGUUAGGGGCUGGAGAGAUGGCUCAGUGGAUAAGAACAUUGACUGCUCUUCCAGAGGACCUGGAAUGUUCAAUUCCAAGCACCCA